CUUGAACCAGUGAGCUCACCUUGAAGUUCUGAAAAACUCUCCAGAAGGAAUCGAAGCGUUUCGUUGAAGUUUUUACGUCGAAACUCAAGCUCGCCGGAUUCUGGAAUUUUUCCGACCACCGAAGCUUUCGAUCGGUAUAUCUCGAGCUACAGACCAUAUUUUUCUGUGAUUCUUGAACCAGUGAGUUCUUCUUGAGUUUCUUAACAACUCUUAAGAAGGAAUCGAAGCCUUAAAUUGACGUUUUUACGUCGAAUUGGAGCUCGCCGUUUUCUGCAGUUUCUCGCCGGUUUCUGGAAAAUUCCGGCCACCUUCAUACUGUUCAAGGUGAUUGACGGUCUCCCUUGGGUGAAAGAUUUCGGUGUGUAUUGUGUUGAAUUGAAGACGCAGCGGGAAUAUCGAGCGGGUAAUCCUACAGGACAGGAGAACCAGGACGGUGAUCGUGCGGUUAGAGCAAUUGUUAGAGUUUUACAGCAAUUGUACGUUGUGAGGUGUGUUAUGCUCAUUUGAGCUUUACAAUAUUGCUUGUGAGAGUGAAUUGUAAUAAUGAACUCGAAGUUUCGAGAUUUGGAUUUUGUAAUUGUAAU